ensembl:snRNA U6 U6 spliceosomal RNA
GUUCUCACUUCAGCAGCACAUACACUAAAAUUGGAACAAUACAGAGAUUUGCAUGGCCCCUGCACAAGGAUGACACACAAAUUCGUGAAUUGUUCCUUAUUUUC